rnacentral:rRNA from 1 species
UACGUAGGGUGCAGGCGUUAAUCGGAAUUACUGGGCGUAAAGCGUGCGCAGGCGGUCUCUUAAGACAGGUGUGAAAUCCCCGGGCUUAACCUGGGAACUGCGCUUGUAACUGAGAGGCUAGAGUGUGGCAGAGGGGGGUGGAAUUCCACGUGUAGCAGUGAAAUGCGUAGAGAUGUGGAGGAACACCGAUGGCGAAGGCAGCCACCUGGGCUAACACUGACGCUCAUGCACGAAAGCGUGGGGAGCAAACAGG